GACGAACCGAGCGAACGUUGUUCGGAAUCACUGGGCUUAAAGGGCGCGUAGGCGGGGGUGUAAGUCUGCGGUGAAAUCCUCCAGCUUAACUGGAGAAGUGCCGUGGAUACUGCUCAUCUCGAGGAGGGUAGGGGCAUCUGGAACGGUCGGUGGAGCGGUGAAAUGCGUUGAUAUCGACCGGAACUCCGGUGGCGAAGGCGAGGUGCUGGACCCUUUCUGACGCUGAGGCGCGAAAGCCAGGGGAGCAAACGGG
rnacentral:rRNA from 1 species